UGGGGAAUAUUGCACAAUGGGCGCAAGCCUGAUGCAGCCAUGCCGCGUGUGUGAAGAAGGCCUUCGGGUUGUAAAGCACUUUCAGCGAGGAGGAAGGUGGUGGACUUAAUACGUUCAUCAAUUGACGUUACUCGCAGAAGAAGCACCGGCUAACUCCGUGCCAGCAGCCGCGGUAAUACGGAGGGUGCAAGCGUUAAUCGGAAUUACUGGGCGUAAAGCGCACGCAGGCGGUUUGUUAAGUCAGAUGUGAAAUCCCCGGGCUCAACCUGGGAACUGCAUUUGAAACUGGCAAGCUAGAGUCUCGUAGAGGGGGGUAGAAUUCCAGGUGUAGCGGUGAAAUGCGUAGAGAUCUGGAGGAAUACCGGUGGCGAAGGCGGCCCCCUGGACGAAGACUGACGCUCAGGUGCGAAAAGCGUGGGGAGCAAAACAGGAUUAGAUACCCUGGUAGUCCACGCUGUAAAACGAUGUCGAUUUUGGAGGUUGUGCCCCUUGAGGCGUGGCUUCCGGAGCUAACGCGUUAAAUCGACCGCCUGGGGAGUACGG
rnacentral:rRNA from 1 species